CGUAGUGAUGAACCCAUGAUAGGGACAUCUUAUGCCAAAGGCACAUGAUUAUAUUUUGGGUCGAUUAUUUUAGUAGAUGCUUCGACUUUUCUGAAC
rfam:Diaporthe ampelina DA_912_scaffold_v01_166, whole genome shotgun sequence.